rnacentral:lncRNA from 1 species
GAUGCUGCGUCUCAACCGCUUCUAAGUGAGCGAAGGUGAUUAACACAUACAGCAUUAGAACUACAUGGUAACGAUAAAUUAAAAAGCAAAUGCUACACAUGAAAGUGGUAAGAUGAUGAUUUUAACCAACAAAUAGAAAUGUUUACAUUUGUAAAUUUUUGGUGGGGAUUGAAGCUUGAAUUAAGUAGUUACAUUAUUGUUAGAGUAUCUUGUACUAUAGAGGAGCUGAUAAGCAUUUAUGUAGAGCUAAUUUUAUGGUCAGGUGGGC